rnacentral:lncRNA from 1 species
UUUAGAAGUGGGUGUGUGUGACCGUGAGAACAAGACCAAGGGGGAAACCCUAUUUCUUCAAAAUCUUGCAAAUUAAAGGAGAAAAGGGCUAAAUUUUGAAUGCAUGAACUAAGAAUGAUGAUCAUCUAAGCAUACCCAACAUCAAUAUGAAUGUAUGUUGGUUGGAAUUCAUGUUGAAAUUGGUCAUGGAACGUGUCAAGGAGAGGUCAAGCAUAGGAGGAUAACGGGUCAAGAUAAGGCAAGGUGACAAAUACACUUAUUGGAGUACUCGAGGUAAGUGAAUUUCGAUUCACUUUUUAGUAGGUUUAAUAGAUUUUAAUACUUAUGUUUACGAAACAUCAUGAAAGAACAUGUGAUAAUCAGAAGUACAAAGCCAAUAAUGCCUCAUUAUUGAAGAAGGUUGUAUUUAAGCCGAAAGUAAAUUGGUGGGUUUAAACGGGUCGAAUUUUAUGUGCAUAUGUUGCGUAAUGUAAUGAAAUUCGUUAUGGUUAAGACCUUGGGUAAGAAUUUUAGUCAUUAUGUAAGGGGAACAUUUCCCGGACCAUUAGGAACAAGUUUUAUAUGAUUCGGUUGUCGGUUAGUGAAUGAACGGAUUGUUUCGUGUUAGUGUAGGAAAUUUUAUAAGUAUAUGUGUAUGGGAAUCCAAAGGCCACGUGGGUUGAAUCGUAGAUUGUCUAUACUAUGUAAAGUUGUAAAUGUGACAUUCCGGCAUAAACCUACAUGUAAAAGAAGCUUGUGUAUAUAUUCGUGAUUAAUUGAUUGUGCGUAGGAAGGAACAUUGGCAUGUAUGAAGGUACGCAUAUAUAUAUAUAAGUGUAUAUAUAUAUAUAUGUAUGUAUGUAUGAUAAUAAGUACGUAGGUGUGAAUGUAUAUGUGAAUGAAUGUUCAAUGCUUAAGACAUAUGCAUGAACGUAUCAAAGUGUUUGAGUAUUUAUGGAUACUAAUGAUGUGCGUUGAGUUGGAAUGUAAUGUAGGUAUGGGAUCGUUGGCUUCAUGAAGAAAUGGAGCUGGAUUUGGAUAAGAGUAUUUAAGAAAGCGCUUGGACAAUUCCACGACUACUUUAUAGAAUGCUCUACGAAAUUUUAUUAUAUAGUUUAAUGUUGAAUGGUAUGUUAAUGACUAAUGGUUUGGUUGUACGUGGUGUCCACAGGUAUCGCUUGGGUUUUCUCUACAUUUAUUGAAGUGAAGCGGACUUAGUUCGAGUUGAGAGCAAGGAUUGUACGGGGUAGAAUGGUCACAUAGUGUAACUCAUAUAGGUUUUGAAGUAUUAAUGUUAUAAAACGUUAUAAAUCCGUUUUAAUGAAUAUAUGGCAUUUCGCAUUUGAACCUUCAUGUGUUUGAUAUGUCUAUUAAAGAACGAAAUUUUUGG